rnacentral:rRNA from 1 species
AAUAGAUACCCAGGUAGUCCACGCCGUAAACGAUGAGUGCUAAGUGUUAGAGGGUUUCCGCCCUUUAGUGCUGCAGCUAACGCAUUAAGCACUCCGCCUGGGGAGUACGGCCGCAAGGCUGAAACUCGAAAGGAAGUUGACGGGGGCCCGCACAAGCGGUGGAGCAUGUGGUUUAAUUCGAAGCAACGCGAAGAACCUUACCAGGUCUUGACAUCCUCUGACAACCCUAGAGAUAGGGCUUUCCCCUUCGGGGGACAAAGUGACAGGUGGUGCAUGGUUGUCGUCAGCUCGUGUCGUGAGAUGUUGGGUUAAGUCCCGCAACGAGCGCAACCCUUGAUCUUAGUUGCCAGCAUUCAGUUGGGCACUCUAAGGUGACUGCCGGUGACAAACCGGAGGAAGGUGGGGAUGACGUCAAAUCAUCAUGCCCCUUAUGACCUGGGCUACACACGUGCUACAAUGGAUGGUACAAAGGGCUGCAAACCUGCGAAGGUAAGCGAAUCCCAUAAGCCAUUCUCAGUUCGGAUUGCAGG